GAUUUACAAGGAUCUUUAGCUCUGCUGCUUCUGUUUCCAUACUUUAUUAUGUGUUUUCUUCUUUUGGUGGGGCCUUAAGAUAUGAAUUUCUGCAUGGUCUACAAGGAUAUAUAUGUGUAUCAAGCUUUUGUGCUGAUUGUUUCUCAAAGGAACAAGAUAUCUAGCUUCUGGUUGCAAGUAAACCUAACUUAUGUUCUCAUUGACAUAAGUUGCUGUUUAUCUCCCAUUCUUCGUUUUAACGUAUAGGGAAGACAUGUAUAGCUGCAGAUAAAUUUCUUGGUGUAUGCAAUACUUUGAUUGUAGUCUCUUUAGUUAAUCCCACACCUGACGCCUGGACAGAUCACCAUAUACAACCUGCAUUUUCUAUCUUGAACUUCCCUUUCUUCCUUGGCUUCGGUAUAACUGUACCAUCAAUAAGUAGUUUAGAGCAUCUACUUUUUGUUGUGACCUUGCUCUGUCAGGAACUUAGGGAUCGAUUAUAGGCUCACCUCCAAUAUUAUGCUGAGGUCUGAUUUUGUUCUUAAUUAGAUCCUAGAUACUGUUUCUAUUUUAUCUUAAUGUUAACUAAGUCCUUACUGAGAUCUCUCUUUUGUGUGUUCAAAACUUUGGUCAAGAUGAUAACUACGUACAUAUAUAAGGGAAAAAGCUUCAUUUCUUUGUAUGCAUAAGGUUGCUAUUAAUUAUCUAAUUGAUAGACUUAUUGCCCACUUUUAUUCUUAAUUGUGAAUCUAUUGUCUUAUCCUCAUACUCUUAGUUACUUUUGGGUGGAAUUUUUUCUUUUGACUGUUGGACCUCAGUUUGAUGAUUGUGUUGAUCAUGUUAUAAACUUUCUGUUAGUAUGCAACCUGAAACACUACAACCCUCAUCUACUUCACCGUCACUCCCAUCACAACACUUACCUCAAAUUAGUCCACCCAUUGAAUAUGGCUGUCAUUCUUCAAGGCAUCACCAGCUUAAUAAUAAUUCCUCUUUCUCCUCUCCUAUAACAAACUAGCAUUAUAUUAUUAGAGAGCGAAGAAAAGAGUAGGGCUUUAUCUAAAGCUCUGUUUUAGUUUAGGCAUAGGAUUCCAUGUACAAAACUGAACGAUAAAAAAGUUUGGCUGCAUUGUAGUUCUCAGAACCCUAGUACUCAUCAAAACACACAUACCUAGCAAGUAAAGCUUUAAUAUUUUUCUUUAAUGCUACUAUUAUUAUUAUUUAUAUGGCUUCCAAAAUCGAUAAAAAAACAUUCUUGUUGUCAAGGCGUUUUUGCAGCAAUUAGGAGUUUUUUAUAAGGUCCUCAUACUUAUUAUACUUAGUUCCAUUUCCUAUUUUGCUAUUUUGACAUGGUAAAUCUACUAAUGGAGAUUCCGAAGCAAAUGCACCUUACUCCUUAGCUGCUAGCCACUAGUUAUAAGAACGAGACAUUGAGGAAUGCAGUUGCAAAGUUUAAGGGGAAGAAAUGGAAGAAAAUAGGUUUGUCUUUGUUUAUUGACUUUAUUCAAUCAUGGUUAAGUGGAGAUUGUAGUUACUAACUUCAGUAGGUAUUGGGUUUUUAAGUGGCAAUUAGUUUGCUUAGACAUGUUUAAAAAAUGUAAUAUUUUAUUAUUUAUUUUUAGGUUAGUAUUUUCUCUCGUACUAUUCCAAUGUUAUGGAUGAUGUUAUUUUAUCUAUGUAUUAAGACUAUGUAGUUUGCAUUCAAUCAAUUAUUCAAAUCUUCACUAUAUC